rnacentral:rRNA from 1 species
CAAUAGCGUAUAUUUAAGUUGUUGCAGUUAAAAAGCUCGUAGUUGGAUUUUGGGUCGGGGGCACCGGUCCGCCGUUCCGGUGUGCACUGGUGGCCCCUUCCUUUCUGCCGGGGACGUGCGUCGCACUUAAUUGGGUGGCGUUCGGAGUCGGCGUUGUUACUUUGAAAAAAUUAGAGUGUUCAAGGCAAGCCAUCGCUCUGAAUACAUUAGCAUGGAAUAACAUGAUAGGACUCCGGUCUUAUUUUGUUGGUUUCCGAGACUGGAGUAAUGAUUAAGAGGGACAGUCGGGGGCAUCCGUAUUUCAUUGUCAGAGGUGAAAUUCUUGGAUUUAUGAAAGACGAACUUCUGCGAAAGCAUUUGCCAAGGAUGUUUUCAUUAA